rnacentral:rRNA from 1 species
AACGUAGGUGGCGAGCGUUAUCCGGAUUUACUGGGCGUAAAGCGUGUGCAGGCGGGUGGUCAAGUGGUGUAUGAAAGCACUGCGCUCAACGCAGUGACCGUAGGCCAGACUGACUAUCUGGAGGGCGAGAGAGGGGCGUGGAAUUCCGGGUGUAGUGGUGAAAUGCGUAGAGAUCCGGAGGAACCCCAGAGGCGAAGGCGGCGCCCUGGCUCGCACCUGACGCUCAGACACGACAGCAUGGGGAGCGAACGGG